GACGAACGCUGGCGGCGUGCUUAACACAUGCAAGUCGAACGGUGAAGCGCCAUCUUUUUUGGUUGGUGUGGUUGCGUAGCGAAGGGGUACGUAACACGUGCGUACCCUGCACCCUUCUUCUGGCUCUCCGCAUGACAGUUUGUAUAAUAUGGGAAAUUCUGGGUCUGUGGCAUGAUGGGUAUAGGACAGCUAUUGGUUAGGUGGGGGCGGGGCUCGAGGCCUAUCAGCUUGUUGGGGGGGUCAUGGCCUACCACGGCGGUGACGGGUGGCCGGCCUGAGAGGGUGGACGGCCACACUGGGACUGAGACCCAGCCCAGACUCCGACGGGAGGCAGCAGUGGGGAAUAGUGCACAAUGGGCGCAAUUCUGAUGCAGCGACGCGGCGUGAGGGAUGGCGGCCUUCGGGUUGUGAACCUCUUUCGCCAGUGAAGCAGGCCUGCCUCGUUUGUAGGUGGAUUGACGGUAGCUGGAGAAGAAGCGCCGGCUAACUACGUG
rnacentral:rRNA from 1 species